rnacentral:rRNA from 1 species
AGUGAAUAGAUACCCUGGUAGUCCUGGCCCUAAACGAUGUCUACUAGGUCGGAGUCACUCUGACGUGUUUCUGGCCGAAAAACAAAAAAGCGUUAAGUAGACCGCCUGGGGAGUACGGUCGCAAGGCUAAAACUCAAAGGAAUUGACGGGGGCUCACACAAGCGGUGGAGCAUGUUGCUCAAUUCGAUGCAACGCGAAGAACCUUAUCCUAGGCUUGACAUGCUUGGAUGCCUGCCCGGAAACGGAGUAGGCUGCCCUUCGGGGUGAAACUUGCACAGGUGCUGCAUGGCUGUCGUCAGCUCGUGUCGUGAGAUGUCGGGUUAAGUCCCUUAACGAGCGAAACCCUUGUCGCUAAUUGCCAGCGGGUAAUGCCGGGAACUUUAGCGAGACUGCCGGUGUCAAACCGGAGGAAGGUGGGGAUGACGUCAAGUCCUCAUGGCCUUUAUGCCUAGGGCUGCAAACGUGCUACAAUGGCGCAUACAAACCGACGCAAAACCGCGAGGUCGAGCAAAUCGGAAAAAAAGACG